rnacentral:rRNA from 1 species
AUACGGGGGAUGCAAGCGUUAUCCGGAUUUAUUGGGUUUAAAGGGUGCGUAGGCGGUCUGUCAAGUCGGCGGUGAAAACAGCAUGCUAAACAUGGUGCUUGCCGUCGAGACUGGUCGGCUCGAAUGUGGAUGAUGCCGGCGGAAUGUGUAAAGUAGCGGUGAAAUGCAUAGAUAUUACACAGAAGGUCGAUUGCGAAAGCAGCUGGCAAAGGCACUAUUGACGCUGAGGCACGAAAGUGCGGGGAUCGAACAGGAUUAGAUACCCUGGUAGUCCGCACAGUAAACGAUGAUAACUAACUGUCGGCGAUACACAGUCGGUGGUAAAGGAAAUCGAUAAGUUAUCCACCUGGGGAUACGACCGCAAGGUUGAAACUCAAAGGAAUUGACGGGGCCCGCACAAGCGGAGGAACAUGUGGUUUAAUUCGAUGAUACGCGAGGAACCUUACCCGGGCUCGAACGGCUAUGGAAUUACAUAGAGAUAUGUAAGUCUGCAAAGACUG